GGCAGGCCAGGUGAGCAGACGGAUUUGCCAACUAGACAGCCAACCAGCAACAACAAACUAAGUUCGUAUACUACCGCUUACGCAUCUAAUCAACCGCCCAUCUAGCUAACCCGAGCCCCUCCACCGUCAAUUCAGGUUCGGCCGGUCCCCGGCCCGCCUGCCGGAGCCGUGGUGGCAGCCCCGGGAGGAACCCUGGCGUCUGUUUCCUUCGAUUCUCGGGAUUUGAAGAUGGCUGCACAGUCAGCACCGAAAGUUGUGCUAAAAAGCACCACCAAGAUGUCUCUAAAUGAGCGCUUUACUAAUAUGCUGAAGAACAAACAGCCGACGCCAGUGAAUAUUCGGGCUUCGAUGCAGCAACAACAGCAGCUAGCCAGUGCCAGAAACAGAAGACUGGCCCAGCAGAUGGAGAAUAGACCCUCUGUCCAGGCAGCAUUAAAACUUAAGCAGAAGAGCUUAAAGCAGCGCCUGGGUAAGAGUAACAUCCAGGCACGGUUAGGCCGACCCAUAGGGGCCCUGGCCAGGGGAGCAAUCGGAGGACGAGGCCUACCCAUAAUCCAGAGAGGCUUGCCCAGAGGAGGACUACGUGGGGGACGUGCCACCAGAACCCUGCUUAGGGGCGGGAUGUCGCUCCGAGGUAGACUAGCCGUAGCUCCCCGAAUGGGCUUAAGAAGAGGUGGUGUUCGAGGUCGUGGAGGUCCUGGGAGAGGGCGCCUAGGGCGUGGAGCUAUGGGUCGUGGCGGAAUCGGUGGUAGAGGUCAGGGUAUGAUAGUUCGGGGAAGAGGGGGCUUUGGAGGCCGAGGCCGAGGCCGUGGACGAGGGAGAGGUGCCCUUGCUCGCCCUGUAUUGACCAAGGAGCAGCUGGACAACCAAUUGGAUGCAUACAUGUCGAAAACAAAAGGACACCUGGAUGCUGAGUUGGAUGCCUACAUGGCACAGACAGAUCCCGAAACCAAUGAUUGAAGCCUGCCCACCCUCCCGUGAGAGACUCUUAUUAGUCGACAUGUCUGUAAAUAACCUUGAAAUAACAGAUAAGAAGAAAUCUGAUUGAUGCUGGAUGGACCUAUCACAAUAGGCUGUGGACUUACUUGCCACCAGCUUGUGCAUUUAGUGUGUUCCUUUUACUUUUUGAUACUGUAUUGUAUGAAGCCCUUUUGUCCUUUGAUUUGUUUGGUUUUUUGUUUUUUUUUCAGGGGUGGGGUAUUUUCCCCUCCUUUACCCAGACUUCUCUUUGAACACAAAUGCAUUAGCCUUGUGGCUAGAACACCCUUUUCCUACCUCUGCCAUCCCUCACUUAAUGCUCUGACAUGCUAAUAUUACUUUUGUUGAUCUCUGUUGCCCCCACAGAAAGGUCCCAGAAAAAAAAAAAGUGUUCCUCCCUGAUGCUUAGAUUUCUGAGGUAGGGUUCUGUUACAUCCUCUUCAAUAGCCUCUUUAAAAUGUUAAGAAAGUCUGGAGCUCAAAAGUGCAUUCUUCCACAUUCACAAUUUAGUAAAUUGAGAACAUUGACAUCACUGCAGGGCAGCAUAAGAGGUUGCUUACAUGUGGUAGCAGCUCUGAUUUGAUCAAAGUUGCUACCAUGUACAUUGACACCACAUAUAACCAGUAUGCUGGGUUGAGUCAUACUAGAUUUCUACCCUUGUAUGAGAUUUACACACUUUCUCUUGGCUUUGUAUCAUGUCCAGAAGGGUACUAUAGGGUUGGUUAAUACCUA